ensembl:lncRNA LINC02223 long intergenic non-protein coding RNA 2223
UUGGAAACAACGGCAAGACUUCAAAGCAGAUCAAUAGAGAAAUACCAAGACCUGAACUUCCUAGCAAAUGCUCUCUUCUAUUUUAAAUAUCCUUUUCAACAAAUGUUUGCUUAUGUGAUUUCUGUUUAGUGGGCAGUAGCAAGGCAAAAUUGAAUGUGUAAUAAGUCGAGCCCAGUAUUUUUCAAGCUCUGGCUCUUGGAGAUCUGUGGUUUUUGGUAGAUGCUUUGAGUGUGGGAUUGUGCAGGAACAGCAGGAUGGAGAUGGAUUGAUAUCAGGUUUAAAAAGAGAUGCUGCAUUUAUGGCUUCAUUCGAGGGAAAGGUUCCACUCACUAAAAAAUGUAGAUUCUUUCCUCAUGCAACACACUUCAUUACUCAUGUGUCCACAUUAGUGAGAUUUUUUUAAUUUCUGAAAAUGUCUUGUCAUAUCUUAGGUUUAUGCACAUUUUUGUGUCACUAAAGAAUAUUUCAUUCAUGUAUUCAUUUGUUCAUUCAUUUGUCAAAUAUCUUUGAUUUUCUACUGUUUCAGGUACUCUGGGGAUAAGAAGUGAAUAGAACAUAUUUAAGUUCUGGGGGACUCAAUCUGAAGAAGAAAGCAGAUACGGAAAUAAAACAGUGGAAUCACUUGCAGAGGAAACACAAGGAAAUGCUUAUAAUUUUUUCCUGGGGAGGUACCAUGUGAAGGCCUGGGCAUAUAACAUGAAACAAGAAAGAUAAGGCCCGUGCUUACAUAGAACUUGGUGAAGAAUCUAGACCAUAACAAGCACACAGAGAAAACGUAUCACAAAUUGUGCUAAAGUUCUGUAAAGGGAUUAAGAUGAAGUGUCACAAGACUGAAUUAGACAGAGUGCCCUUGAAAGAGUGCCAAUUUUUAGAAUGGAGGGUGUAGAUCCAUCCUUUGCAACUGGUGAGGACCUCCUCAGUAAGGCACUGAGCCAGGAGUCUAUACAGCCAUGCCAGCAGGGAGCACUGUCUUUCAUUGUCUGAUGUUUAUUGCAAACCUGUUCUUUUCAGCUUUUUGUUGUUUCAGCCUAGUCCAAAGACGUUUACAUCCUGGAAGAGAACUUGCUGGCUUUUCACCUCAGCAUGUAUGGGCCAAACUAAUAUAACAAGAAGUCUUGAGAGGAGUCAGCGGCCAAGCUCCAUGUCUUGCAGCCAAACAAUGCUGUG